AUACGAAGGGUGCAAGCGUUAAUCGGAAUUACUGGGCGUAAAGCGCGCGUAGGUGGUUCAGCAAGUUGGAUGUGAAAGCCCCGGGCUCAACCUGGGAACUGCAUCCAAAACUACUGAGCUAGAGUACGGUAGAGGGUGGUGGAAUUUCCUGUGUAGCGGUGAAAUGCGUAGAUAUAGGAAGGAACACCAGUGGCGAAGGCGACCACCUGGACUGAUACUGACACUGAGGUGCAAAAGCGUGGGGAGCAAACAGGAUUAGAUCCCCUGGUAGUCCACGCCGUAAACGAUGUCAACUAGUUGUUGGGUUCCUUGAGAACUUAGUAACGAAGCUAACGCGAUAAGUUGACCGCCUGGGGAGUACGGCCGCAAGGUUAAAACUCAAAUGAAUUGUCGGGG
rnacentral:rRNA from 1 species